rnacentral:lncRNA from 1 species
UGUGACUCUUGUUGAUGGUUCUCGGUUGUUUUUGAAGUUGAGAUAUUUUUCUCAGGUGUUCUAGAGUCUUCUCUCUUUAGGUCUAUGGUUUGUUCAUGUGCAAGUUUUUGUUUGAGCGUAAACCUGUUAGAUCUUUUAGAAAGAUGAUUUGUUGAAAGUUGUUUGAUCUCAUUUGUUUACAAUGUUUUUGACAUGGCUCUUGGGCUUUUAAUCUGUGAUUGUUUUGUCUCUGAUUCGUGUUCCGCUGUGGAUUUGUGAUCAUAUCUGCUCUGGUCUAGUGAGUUCUUGGUGGAUAUGGGUAGUGUUCUUGCUGCCGAUUCCAGAUUUUGAAGAUCCGGCUGUCUCGGAGUUUCUAUCUGUACACUUGGUAGUACAAAUCUGAUCGGAGAUCUUAGGAGGUGUGCUGGUUCUUGCUGAUAUAUGUUGUCAGAUUUUCUCUAUCCCGGUGUUAUAUUUCAAGGUGCUGGGCGGAAUUCUGUGGAAGUAAUUUAGGAAGCUGUUGUUCAAAACAAGGGUUCAACCUUUGAUGGCUGUAAAAUCCUUGAUUUGAACUGGCGAAACCCUAGCUAGGGUUUGCUAUCUCGGCAUCCUGUUGCCGGGGUAGUUGGACCAGUCUUGUGAAUUUGGGACAGGAAGG